rnacentral:rRNA from 1 species
UGGGGGAUAUUGCACAAUGGAGGAAACUCUGAUGCAGCAACGCCGCGUGAGGGAAGAAGGUCUUCGGAUUGUAAACCUCAGUAGUCAGGGACGAAAGAAAUGACGGUACCUGAAGAGUAAGCUCCGGCUAACUACGUGCCAGCAGCCGCGGUAAUACGUAGGGAGCGAGCGUUGUCCGGAUUUACUGGGUGUAAAGGGUGCGUAGGCGGGAUAGCAAGUCAGACGUGAAAUACCGAGGCUUAACUUCGGGGCUGCGUUUGAAACUGUUAUUCUUGAGUGAAGUAGAGGCGGGCGGAAUUCCAAGUGUAGCGGUGAAAUGCGUAGAUAUUAGGAGGAACACCAGUGGCGAAGGCGGCCUGCUGGGCUUUAACUGACGCUGAGGCACGAAAGCAUGGGGAGCAAACA